UUCAGGAUGAACGCUAGCUACAGGCUUAACACAUGCAAGUCGAGGGGCAGCAUUUUAGUUUGCUUGCAAACUGAAGAUGGCGACCGGCGCACGGGUGAGUAACACGUAUCCAACCUGCCGAUAACUCCGGAAUAGCCUUUCGAAAGAAAGAUUAAUACCGGAUAGCAUACGAAUAUCGCAUGAUAUUUUUAUUAAAGAAUUUCGGUUAUCGAUGGGGAUGCGUUCCAUUAGUUUGUUGGCGGGGUAACGGCCCACCAAGACUACGAUGGAUAGGGGUUCUGAGAGGAAGGUCCCCCACAUUGGAACUGAGACACGGUCCAAACUCCUACGGGAGGCAACAGUGAGGAAUAUUGGUCAAUGGGCGAGAGCCUGAACCAGCCAAGUAGCGUGAAGGAUGAAGGCUCUAUGGGUCGUAAACUUCUUUUAUAUGGGAAUAAAGUUUUCCACGUGUGGAAUUUUGUAUGUACCAUAUGAAUAAGGAUCGGCUAACUCCGUGCCAGCAGCCGCGGUAAUACGGAGGAUCCGAGCGUUAUCCGGAUUUAUUGGGUUUAAAGGGAGCGUAGGUGGAUUGUUAAGUCAGUUGUGAAAGUUUGCGGCUCAACCGUAAAAUUGCAGUUGAAACUGGCAGUCUUGAGUACAGUAGAGGUGGGCGGAAUUCGUGGUGUAGCGGUGAAAUGCUUAGAUAUCACGAAGAACUCCGAUUGCGAAGGCAGCUCACUAGACUGUCACUGACACUGAUGCUCGAAAGUGUGGGUAUCAAACAGGAUUAGAUACCCUGGUAGUCCACACAGUAAACGAUGAAUACUCGCUGUUUGCGAUAUACAGUAAGCGGCCAAGCGAAAGCAUUAAGUAUUCCACCUGGGGAGUACGCCGGCAACGGUGAAACUCAAAGGAAUUGACGGGGGCCCGCACAAGCGGAGGAACAUGUGGUUUAAUUCGAUGAUACGCGAGGAACCUUACCCGGGCUUAAAUUGCAACAGAAUAUAUUGGAAACAGUAUAGCCGUAAGGCUGUUGUGAAGGUGCUGCAUGGUUGUCGUCAGCUCGUGCCGUGAGGUGUCGGCUUAAGUGCCAUAACGAGCGCAACCCUUAUCUUUAGUUACUAACAGGUCAUGCUGAGGACUCUAGAGAGACUGCCGUCGUAAGAUGUGAGGAAGGUGGGGAUGACGUCAAAUCAGCACGGCCCUUACGUCCGGGGCUACACACGUGUUACAAUGGGGGGUACAGAAGGCGGCUACCUGGUGACAGGAUGCUAAUCCCAAAAACCUCUCUCAGUUCGGAUCGAAGUCUGCAACCCGACUUCGUGAAGCUGGAUUCGCUAGUAAUCGCGCAUCAGCCAUGGCGCGGUGAAUACGUUCCCGGGCCUUGUACACACCGCCCGUCAAGCCAUGAAAGCCGGGGGUACCUGAAGUACGUAACCGCAAGGAGCGUCCUAGGGUAAAAC
rnacentral:rRNA from 1 species